rnacentral:rRNA from 1 species
AGCGAACGCUGGCGGCAGGCCUAACACAUGCAAGUCGAACGAACUCUUCGGAGUUAGUGGCGGACGGGUGAGUAACACGUGGGAACGUGCCUUUUGGUUCGGAAUAACUCAGGGAAACUUGUGCUAAUACCGAAUGUGCCCUUCGGGGGAAAGAUUUAUCGCCAUUAGAGCGGCCCGCGUCUGAUUAGCUAGUUGGUGAGGUAACGGCGCACCAAGGCGACGAUCAGUAGCUGGUCUGAGAGGAUGACCAGCCACACUGGGACUGAGACACGGCCCAGACUCCUACGGGAGGCAGCAGUGGGGAAUCUUGCGCAAUGGGCGAAAGCCUGACGCAGCCAGGCCGCGUGAAUGAUGAAGGUCUGAGGAUUGUAAAAUUCUUUCACCGGGGACGAUAAUGACGGUACCCGGAGAAGAAGCCCCGGCUAACUUCGUG